AACUCGCCUGCAUGAAGCUGGAAUUGCUAGUAAUCGCGGAUCAGCAAGCCGCGGUGAAUACGUUCCCGGGCCUUGUACACACCGCCCGUCACACCAUGAGAGUCGGGAACACCCGAAGUCCGUAGUCUAACCGCAAGGGGGCGCGGCCGAAGGUGGGUCCGGUAAUUGGGUGAAGUCGUAACAAGGUACC
rnacentral:rRNA from 1 species